rnacentral:tRNA from 1 species
AAAGGUUUAGUUAAAUAAUAACAUUAGAAUGUCAAACUAAAAUUACUAUCUUAGUAAUCUUUG